CCCGAACACGGUAGUUAAGCCCAUAUACGCCGAAAGUACUUGGCUGGAAACGGCCUGGGAGGAUAGGGAGUCGCUGAUU
rnacentral:rRNA from 1 species